GCCUCCUGCUUUUCUCACUAAGGAUGUUUUGGCUAUUCUGGGCUCUUAUUUUUCCAAAUAAAUUUCAUGACUGCUUUUUCUAUUUCUAUGAAGAACAUCAUUGGAAUUUUUAAAGAAAUUGCAUUAAAUCUGUGCAGUGCUUUUGGUAGUAUGGCCAUUUUGAUAAAGUUAAUUCUGCCUAUCCAAGAACAUGGGAGAUCUUUUUGUCUUCUAAGGUCUUCUUUAAUUUCUUUUUUGAGUGUUCUGUAGUUUUCAGUGAAUGCACCUUCUAAAAGACCUUUUGUUAUGAUUUAAUUAGCUUUUGAACAAGACAAAUGUUAGCCCAAACUGCAUGUCAAUAAUAGAAGAUAAUACAAGAACAGUCCUAAUCCAGUCAUAUGGGGGACUCUCAAAAAAGUCCUGGGGAGACACUACCCUUUCAUGUCUAAGGCACCAGAUGAAUCUUAGCCUCAGUUCUAAAUGAGCUUGGAAGGGUCAGGGCCAGAACCAUCUUUUAGAUGAACCAUCUUUUAGAUUCCUACAGCUGCUGUAACAAAUUAUGAUAAGCAUAUAGAAACUUAUCCUCUCAUAGUCCUGGAGGCUGAAAGUACGUUAUCUAGGUGUUGGCAGGGCUAAAGCAUCUCUAGAAUCUCCUGCAGCACCUAGGCUAGAGGUAUUCCUAGCCUGUGGCUACAUUACUCCAGCCACUGCCUGCCUUCAUGUGGUCCUCUGCUUGGUGUCUCUGUCAAAUACCUCUCUGCCUCUUUCUUAUAGGGACACUUAUCAUUGGAUUUACUAAG
rnacentral:lncRNA from 1 species